CUUUGGAUUUGCUGUGUUUUUAGUAUUUGAUGUGUUUUUACCUUAUGUUAUUGUAUGCUUUUAUUUUGAAAUGUCGUGUGUGUGUUUUUAAACGUUGGUUUUACUUCCGCCAUCGGACAUGUAGCCUAAUUAGGAUUAAGGAUUUGCACCUGGGGACCAGAGAAUGGAUUGACUGUUUUAGAUAUAAAAAGGAGAGAGGAGAGGGGCGCACGACGGAGGACACAGAGACCACAACGGCACAAUGGGGCGGACAGAACGAAGCAGACAGGCAGGCAGGCAGGCAGGCAGGCAGGCAGGCAGGCAGGCAGGCAGGCAGACAGACAGAGACACAGAGACCGGGAGGCCUGAGAAUACACCGAGGAAAACGUAAACACCGACUGCUAGCGGCUACAGUGGGAGAAGGCUUUGUCCGAGGAGAGGAGCCAGGCGAGAAGAAGGUGGUCGCCAGCGGAUCCCGUGGACUGUCAUUUAACCUCCCACUCCUGUUCUGCUGCAUUAUUUUAGCUUGGUUUUAGUUGGUUGUGCUUAUUGCUUUUAAUUUCAUUUAAGGAGGAACUUUAGUUGUUUUAUUCCUCUUUAAAUAAAUCUGUUAUCCCUCUACCAGUUUGUACUCACUGUUUUAAAUACCACUGGUUUUAACUGCUCUCCCCCGACAUAAAGGACCUGUUAAUCUUUUAUCUCAAAUUUGAAAGUUGGUAGUUUUAAGAGGUCCUAGGCCUCAGUCAAACCUAGAUGGCGUUGUCGGCCCCCAUUUCAACUUAUCCACGCCUUACCUUUAUCCUGGGCUUUAUGAAUCUGCCUCAAAACACAUCCUGACACAGUCCGAAGGACAGGAAGUUAGUUUGUUUGUUUCGAGCAAAUCAACACAAACUGUCAAACUGGUACGGAUAAUACAUAUGAUAAGCAUAAACAUUGAGUGAGAGUUAUGUUAAUGAAAAUAAAUUCUUUAUGCUGAUUGAUUUUGAUUGAUCAUAACUUGUCUGAUUGCUUUCAAAAGAUUGAUUUUUCUUAACUAUCUGCAGCUGUAGUCAGAUAGCAGCUCCACUCGGAGCAGAUGGAGCUACAGAGUUCAAACAAACGCACCUUUUUGUUUUAUCUUUUGUCAUUUGAUUUUCCUCUGUGAAACACUGAAACUUAACUAAACCGAGGUGAGACCCGUCAAAGUUGACAUCACCACCAGACAUAAGAUUUAGCCUCCCUUCCACCAAAAUAAUUUGUUUACAGUCCCUAAAAUAGAACAAAACGUGUAAGCAAUUAUACUGUCCUAUAAGAUAUGAAAAAUAGCAGUUAAAAAUGUUAUUUAGACAAAAUGUAAACCUAUGAAAUAUUUUAUAUUAUAUAAAAACAUUUUCACACAAUUUGCGAAAUUCUACUCCAAUGAGCAAAACAUUACACACAGUGAUUUGUAAAACUCUACACACAUUUUCACACCUUAGACACAGAUAAGGAUAAGGAACGAAUUGGAUAAACACAUCCACCAGGUGUGGAAGUACACAUGUGCUAAUUUGAAAACGCAGUACUCAGGUGUACUAUAAAAGGCAGCAGGUGAGUUCACCGGUCUUCAACAUAAAUGGAAGGAGCUAGAAGAAGAGUGAGAAUGAGAGGGGGAGCUCAAAGAGGAGAUGAAGGAGGUAGAGGAAGAGGAGAAGGACUUGGAGCCUGUGAUGUGGAUGAAAUCUUGUUGCUUUUACAGUAGUUUUUUUUCCAGAGUCAAAGUGUAUGUACUUCAUGCAGUAAUGUUUAUUUGUUUACAGAUUUUAUUUGUUUCGUUGAUUUCAUUGUUGGUUGAUUACUGUAACUGAUUAUGGUAAGACAUACUGUAAGUAUUGAAAUAAAUACUUGAAAUAUUCA